rnacentral:misc_RNA from 1 species
UACGUAGGGUGCAAGCAUUAAUCGGAAUUAUUGGGCGUAAAGGGCGCGUAGGCGGAUUGAUAAGUCAGAUGUGAAAUACCAAAGCUCAACUUUGGUGCUGCAUUUGAAACUGUCUUUCUAGAGGAUUGACGGAGAAAGCGGAAUUCCACGUGUAGCGGUGAAAUGCGUAGAUACGUGGAGGAACACCGGUGGCGAAAGCGGCUUUCUAGUUUAUACCUGACGCUGAGGCGCGAGAGCAAGGGGAGCAAACAGG